AGAGUUUGAUCCUGGCUCAGGAUGAACGCUGGCGGCGUGCCUAAUACAUGCAAGUCGAGCGAACGGACGAGAAGCUUGCUUCUCUGAUGUUAGCGGCGGACGGGUGAGUAACACGUGGAUAACCUACCUAUAAGACUGGGAUAACUUCGGGAAACCGGAGCUAAUACCAGAUAAUAUUUUGAACCGCAUGGUUCAAAAGUGAAAGACGGUCUUGCUGUCACUUAUAGAUGGAUCCGCGCUGCAUUAGCUAGUUGGUAAGGUAACGGCUUACCAAGGCAACGAUGCAUAGCCGACCUGAGAGGGUGAUCGGCCACACUGGAACUGAGACACGGUCCAGACUCCUACGGGAGGCAGCAGUAGGGAAUCUUCCGCAAUGGGCGAAAGCCUGACGGAGCAACGCCGCGUGAGUGAUGAAGGUCUUCGGAUCGUAAAACUCUGUUAUUAGGGAAGAACAUAUGUGUAAGUAACUGUGCACAUCUUGACGGUACCUAAUCAGAAAGCCACGGCUAACUACGUGCCAGCAGCCGCGGUAAUACGUAGGUGGCAAGCGUUAUCCGGAAUUAUUGGGCGUAAAGCGCGCGUAGGCGGUUUUUUAAGUCUGAUGUGAAAGCCCACGGCUCAACCGUGGAGGGUCAUUGGAAACUGGAAAACUUGAGUGCAGAAGAGGAAAGUGGAAUUCCAUGUGUAGCGGUGAAAUGCGCAGAGAUAUGGAGGAACACCAGUGGCGAAGGCGACUUUCUGGUCUGUAACUGACGCUGAUGUGCGAAAGCGUGGGGAUCAAACAGGAUUAGAUACCCUGGUAGUCCACGCCGUAAACGAUGAGUGCUAAGUGUUAGGGGGUUUCCGCCCCUUAGUGCUGCAGCUAACGCAUUAAGCACUCCGCCUGGGGAGUACGACCGCAAGGUUGAAACUCAAAGGAAUUGACGGGGACCCGCACAAGCGGUGGAGCAUGUGGUUUAAUUCGAAGCAACGCGAAGAACCUUACCAAAUCUUGACAUCCUUUGACAACUCUAGAGAUAGAGCAUUCCCCUUCGGGGGACAAAGUGACAGGUGGUGCAUGGUUGUCGUCAGCUCGUGUCGUGAGAUGUUGGGUUAAGUCCCGCAACGAGCGCAACCCUUAAGCUUAGUUGCCAUCAUUAAGUUGGGCACUCUAAGUUGACUGCCGGUGACAAACCGGAGGAAGGUGGGGAUGACGUCAAAUCAUCAUGCCCCUUAUGAUUUGGGCUACACACGUGCUACAAUGGACAAUACAAAGGGCAGCGAAACCGCGAGGUCAAGCAAAUCCCAUAAAGUUGUUCUCAGUUCGGAUUGUAGUCUGCAACUCGACUAUAUGAAGCUGGAAUCGCUAGUAAUCGUAGAUCAGCAUGCUACGGUGAAUACGUUCCCGGGUCUUGUACACACCGCCCGUCACACCACGAGAGUUUGUAACACCCGAAGCCGGUGGAGUAACCUUUUAGGAGCUAGCCGUCGAAGGUGGGACAAAUGAUUGGGGUGAAGUCGUAACAAGGUAGCCGUAUCGGAAGGUGCGGCUGGAUCACCU
rnacentral:rRNA from 1 species